AAAGCGCAAACCCAAUCCUCCAUUACCACAAAUUAUGCAGUCGAGUUUCCCGCAUUUGGGGAAAUCGCAGGGGUCAGCAGACCUGUAGUGCAAUGGAUGAGCUUCAACUUGGGAAAACCUCCUUCGUGAUCAAGAUGCUGGGAGUCAAAUAACAGAUCCCUCACUAGUCCUACCCCUCUGACCAUUUUAUUUUAUUUUAUUUGUAUCCUGUUUUUUUAUUAUUUUUACAAAUAAUUCAAGGUAGCAAACAUAUCCAACACACAUCCCUUCUCCUAUUUGCCCCAUUACAACAACCCUGUAAGGUGGAUUGGGCUAAGAGAGAGAGAGAGACUGGUCCAAGUCACCCAGCUGGCUUUCAUAGCUCAGUGGAAUUUGAACUCACAGUCUCCCAUUCAUAUUUCUUAUAAGAUUUUACUUUCCUGGCCCCUUCUCAUCUCAUCUCAUCUCAUCUCAUCUCAUCUCAUCUCGUGUAACUUCCGGACACUUUCCAGUUGGUCAAUAUCCUUCUUGAUUGCACUACAGGGAGCCCGAUGCAAUAAAGCUGAGAUCUGUGGUGUGCUGCUCAACAUUUCUUUCCAGCUUGAGGCACGACCACACUCACUGGGUGAGAUUGUUCAACAGACCCUGUAGCCAUCUAAUAGUUUACUAGAAUCUCAUGAGAACUCUGUAAAGCAUUUUGCUGGAGUCAAGGACACUGCAUCUACCACAUCCUCUAGUCUAGACUGUUGUGAUUCCUCGCCAGCCAGUGGAUCCGGCAACUGAGUCUGAAGAAUCAGAGGAGGAGGAGGGGCCUGGAGUGACAUUAGAGUCAG